GGACGCGAUCAUACCAGCACUAAAGCACCGGAUCUCAUCAGAACUCCGAAGUUAAGCGUGCUUGUGGCGAGAGUAGUACUANNN
rnacentral:rRNA from 1 species